rnacentral:lncRNA from 1 species
UAAAAAAUGGAAAUGAGUUUUUUUUAACACAGCUUAGCACUGUCAAAGUGAAAACUUGUCUGGUAUUCCACAGUAACAGCUUUACUUACUAUCUUCCCAUUGAUGGCCAUAUAAUUUCCUGCUAGUCGUUUACUUAUACACUUCCUUUUUAUGAUUCUUAAUAGUGGAAUUAACUAACGUAAAAGGGCUCACCAGUAAGGUGUUGCCAUUACUCUCCCACUCUAUGUUUUCCAUCUUGUACAGGACAUCAGUCAUGCCACUGUGGUUCUCUUAUUUAUUGCUAUUCUCCUUUCCUAAUGGAGUUAGUGUUAAAUUGUUGAUUUUCAAGGGGGUUGGCUUCUCCUGAGUACUUUGGUGUAAUAUGUUGCAGAUACUUUCUACACUAUGGUCACGGUAAUUAUUACAGCUGUUUCAAAAAGGUGACUGGUGAGGCCAUUUUAUUUACCCAAAAUAAUUGUUUACGUAAGAUCAACUUUAGAAUCCUCACAUAAAAGUUCUACUC